UUUAUGGAGAGUUUGAUCCUGGCUCAGGAUGAACGCUGGCGGCGUGCCUAAUACAUGCAAGUCGAGCGAACGGACGAGAAGCUUGCUUCUCUGAUGUUAGCGGCGGACGGGUGAGUAACACGUGGAUAACCUACCUAUAAGACUGGGAUAACUUCGGGAAACCGGAGCUAAUACCGGAUAAUAUUUUGAACCGCAUGGUUCAAAAGUGAAAGACGGUCUUGCUGUCACUUAUAGAUGGAUCCGCGCUGCAUUAGCUAGUUGGUAAGGUAACGGCUUACCAAGGCAACGAUGCAUAGCCGACCUGAGAGGGUGAUCGGCCACACUGGAACUGAGACACGGUCCAGACUCCUACGGGAGGCAGCAGUAGGGAAUCUUCCGCAAUGGGCGAAAGCCUGACGGAGCAACGCCGCGUGAGUGAUGAAGGUCUUCGGAUCGUAAAACUCUGUUAUUAGGGAAGAACAUAUGUGUAAGUAACUGUGCACAUCUUGACGGUACCUAAUCAGAAAGCCACGGCUAACUACGUGCCAGCAGCCGCGGUAAUACGUAGGUGGCAAGCGUUAUCCGGAAUUAUUGGGCGUAAAGCGCGCGUAGGCGGUUUUUUAAGUCUGAUGUGAAAGCCCACGGCUCAACCGUGGAGGGUCAUUGGAAACUGGAAAACUUGAGUGCAGAAGAGGAAAGUGGAAUUCCAUGUGUAGCGGUGAAAUGCGCAGAGAUAUGGAGGAACACCAGUGGCGAAGGCGACUUUCUGGUCUGUAACUGACGCUGAUGUGCGAAAGCGUGGGGAUCAAACAGGAUUAGAUACCCUGGUAGUCCACGCCGUAAACGAUGAGUGCUAAGUGUUAGGGGGUUUCCGCCCCUUAGUGCUGCAGCUAACGCAUUAAGCACUCCGCCUGGGGAGUACGACCGCAAGGUUGAAACUCAAAGGAAUUGACGGGGACCCGCACAAGCGGUGGAGCAUGUGGUUUAAUUCGAAGCAACGCGAAGAACCUUACCAAAUCUUGACAUCCUUUGACANCUCUAGAGUUGNNNNNNNNNNNNNNNNNNNNNNNNGUGACAGGUGGUGCAUGGUUGUCGUCAGCUCGUGUCGUGAGAUGUUGGGUUAAGUCCCGCAACGAGCGCAACCCUUAAGCUUAGUUGCCAUCAUUAAGUUGGGCACUCUAAGUUGACUGCCGGUGACAAACCGGAGGAAGGUGGGGAUGACGUCAAAUCAUCAUGCCCCUUAUGAUUUGGGCUACACACGUGCUACAAUGGACAAUACAAAGGGCAGCGAAACCGCGAGGUCAAGCAAAUCCCAUAAAGUUGUUCUCAGUUCGGAUUGUAGUCUGCAACUCGACUACAUGAAGCUGGAAUCGCUAGUAAUCGUAGAUCAGCAUGCUACGGUGAAUACGUUCCCGGGUCUUGUACACACCGCCCGUCACACCACGAGAGUUUGUAACACCCGAAGCCGGUGGAGUAACCUUUUAGGAGCUAGCCGUCGAAGGUGGGACAAAUGAUUGGGGUGAAGUCGUAACAAGGUAGCCGUAUCGGAAGGUGCGGCUGGAUCACCUCCUUUCU
rnacentral:rRNA from 1 species